CACGUAGGGCGCAAGCGUUGUCCGGAAUUAUUGGGCGUAAAGAGCUCGUAGGCGGUCUGUUGCGUCCGCUGUGAAAACCCGGGGCUUAACCCUGGGCUGGCAGUGGAUACGGACAGACUAGAGGUAGGUAGGGGAGAAUGGAAUUCCCGGUGUAGCGGUGAAAUGCGCAGAUAUCGGGAGGAACACCGGUGGCGAAGGCGGUUCUCUGGGCCUGUACUGACGCUGAGGAGCGAAAGCGUGGGGAGCGAACAGG
rnacentral:rRNA from 1 species